rnacentral:rRNA from 1 species
CAGUCGCCACGGGAAUACAGAGGGUGCGAGCGUUAAUCGGAUUUACUGGGCGUAAAGCGUGCGUAGGCGGCUUCUUAAGUCGGAUGUGAAAUCCCUUAGCUUAACUUAGGAAUUGCAUUCGAUACUGGGAAGCUAGAGUAUGGGAGAGGAUGGUAGAAUUCCAGGUGUAGCGGUGAAAUGCGUAGAGAUCUGGAGGAAUACCGAUGGCGAAGGCAGCCAUCUGGCCUAAUACUGACGCUGAGGUACGAAAGCAUGGGGAGCAAACAGGAUUAGAUACCCGGGUAGUCCCUGUCUCUUAUAC